rnacentral:tRNA from 1 species
GCGCCCGUAGCUCAGGUGGAUAGAGCAUUAGCCUUCUAAGCUAAGGGUCGCAGGUUCGAAUCCUGCCGGGCGCA